rnacentral:rRNA from 1 species
CCUACGGGUGGCAGCAGUGAGGAAUAUUGGUCAAUUGGCGCGAGCCUGAACCAGCCAAGUCGCGUGAGGGCUGAAGGUUCUAUGGAUCGUACACCUCUUUUGUAAGGGAAUAAAGUGUGGGACGUGUCCUAUUUUGUAUGUACCUUAUGAAUAAGGAUCGGCUAACUCCGUGCCAGCCGCCGCGGUAAUCCGGAGGAUCCGAGCGUUAUCCGGAUUUCUUGGGUUUAAAGGGUGCGUAGGCGGCUUUUUAAGUCAGCGGUGAAAGUCUGUGGCUCAACCAUAGAAUUGCCGUUGAAACUGGGGGGCUUGAGUAUGUUUGAGGCAGGUGGAAUGCGUGGUGUAGCGGUGAAAUGCUUAGAUAGCACGCAGAACCCCGAUUGCGAAGGCAGCCUGCCAAGCCAUGACUGACGCUGAUGCACGAAAGCGUGGGGAUCAAACAGGAUUAGAUACCCCGGUAGUC